AGCGCCUUACCUUAGGGUUUCCUCUGGGGUAAGUGAUUGCUUCUACACUGUGAAAAUUUGGCUGAGAGACUCAGACUGGUCAUGGGUAGACCUAUCUGGGGUUUGAUCGAUGCCACUCCUGGUUUCAGGAGCACCCUUCAUAAUAAACCUAGAAAUUCAGUAUUAUAAAGUUUAAUAAAAAACAACUUUUAACAAUGGAUCUCUUGGUUCUCGCAUCGAUGAAGAACGUAGCAAAGUGCGAUAACUAGUGUGAAUUGCAUAUUCAGUGAAUCAUCGAGUCUUUGAACGCAGCUUGCACUCUAUGGUUUUUCUAUAGAGUACGCCUGCUUCAGUAUCAUCACAAACCCACACAUAACAUUUGUUUAUGUGGUAAUGGGUCGCAUCGCUGUUUUAUUACAGUGAGCACCUAAAAUGUGUGUGAUUUUCUGUCUGGCUUGCUAGGCAGGAAUAUUACGCUGGUCUCAGGAUCUUUUUCUUUGGUUCGCCCAGGAAGUAAAGUACAAGAGUAUAAUCCAGCAACUUUCAAACUAUGAUCUGAAGUCAGGUGGGAUUACCCGCUGAACUUAAGCAUAUCAAUAAGCGGAGGAAA
rnacentral:rRNA from 1 species